CCUACGGGUGGCAGCAGUAGGGAAUAUUGCUCAAUGGGGGAAACCCUGAAGCAGCAACGCCGCGUGGAGGAUGAAGGUUUUCGGAUUGUAAACUCCUUUUGUUAGAGAAGAUAAUGACGGUAUCUAACGAAUAAGCACCGGCUAACUCCGUGCCAGCAGCGGCGGUAAUAAGGAGGGUGCAAGGGUUAUUCGGAGUCACUGGGCGUAAAGGGCGCGUAGGCGGGAUAGCAAGUCAGAUGUGAAAUUCUAUGGCUUAACCAUAGAACUGCAUUUGAGACUGUUAUUCUAGAGUAUGGGAGAGGUAGGUGGAAUUCGUGGUGUAGGGGUAAAAUCCGUAGAGAUCAAGAGGAAUACUCAUUGCGAAGGCGACCUACUAGAACAUCACUGACGCUGAUGCGCGAAAGCGUGGGGAGCAAACAGGAUUAGAUACCCGUGUAGUC
rnacentral:rRNA from 1 species